AGAAUGGAGGGCCAUGUGGCUGUGACACGUGUCAUUCUAUUGAUCAUCAAGGUGACUUCAUUUGAUCUGGCUGGCUCAGCAGGAAUCCCUUCCUCUCCACUCUGUCUCCCUCGCAGAGCUGUGUACAUGGCAGAAGAGACUUUUCUCUGGUGGAAGGUAUCUACAUAGCUUUGCUCCCCUGUGAAGACAGUUAAGUUAUCACAUAGGAGACUCUACAAAAGUAUACAAAAUAAAAAGGGAAGAAAAGAAGCAGAACCAAG
ensembl:misc_RNA 7SK 7SK RNA